UUGUUGAUCACCAUGGAGGUGAAACGGUCACGGUAACUUUCCCACUCCGUGAACUUUCCAUCGAAGGACGGCAAUUGUAUCUUUGGUGUGACCUGGGCUAGCAUUUCCGCCAUGAAGUCCAUUGCUUCCUGAUACCGCUCCUCGGCCUGGAUAAAAUGAUUCUCAACGAAGUACGCAUGGUCAUCCGGUUUUGGGUUGUUGCUGCGGUCAUCUUGGUUUGCCCCAGCUUCUUGAAAUUGGUGGACGAGUACCUGGUUGAUUUUCCUCGAUCCCAAUCCGGCUCGAAGGACCAAUUUUAUGUAGGCG